UACGUAGGUGGCGAGCGUUGUCCGGAAUUACUGGGCGUAAAGGAUGCGUAGGCGGAUAUCUAAGUCAGAUGUGAAAUUCCCGGGCUUAACUUGGGAGCUGCAUUUGAAACUGGAUAUCUAGAGUGCGGGAGAGGAAAGUGGAAUUCCUAGUGUAGCGGUGAAAUGCGUAGAGAUUAGGAAGAACACCAGUGGCGAAGGCGACUUUCUGGACCGUAACUGACGCUGAGGCAUGAAAGCGUGGGUAG
rnacentral:rRNA from 1 species